GUGGCUACGAGCUACACUCCCAACCCCUGUGACAUACCCAACGUUGCUUCGGCGGGACCGCCCCGGCGCCCUCGGCGUCCCGGAACCAGGCGCCCGCCGGAGGACCCAAACUCUUGUUUAAACCAUAGUGGCAUAUUCUGAGUCUCACAAGAAAAAUGAAUCAAAACUUUCAACAACGGAUCUCUUGGCUCUGGCAUCGAUGAAGAACGCAGCGAAAUGCGAUAAGUAAUGUGAAUUGCAGAAUUCAGUGAAUCAUCGAAUCUUUGAACGCACAUUGCGCCCGCCAGUAUUCUGGCGGGCAUGCCUGUUCGAGCGUCAUUUCAACCCUCAAGCCCCAGCCGGCUUGGUGUUGGGGACCGGCCCCGGCCGCCCCCCAAAUGCAGUGGCGACCUCGCCGCAGCCUCCCCUGCGUAGUAGCACAACCUCGCACCGGAGCGCGGAGACGGUCACGCCGUAAAACGCCCAACUUCUCAGAGUUGACCUCGGAUCAGGUAGGAAUACCCGCUGAACUUAAGCAUAUCAAUAAGCGGAGGAAC
rnacentral:rRNA from 1 species